rnacentral:rRNA from 1 species
UACGGGAGGCAGCAGUGGGGAAUAUUGCACAAUGGGCACAAGCCUGAUGCAGCCAUGCCGCGUGUAUGAAGAAGGCCUUCGGGUUGUAAAGUACUUUUCAGUCGUGAGGAAGGUGUUAAGGUUAAUAACCUUAGCAAUUGACGUUAGCGACAGAAGAAGCACCGGCUAACUCCGUGCCAGCAGCCGCGGUAAUACGGAGGGUGCGAGCGUUAAUCGGAAUUACUGGGCGUAAAGGGCACGCAGGCGGUUAAUUAAGUUGGAUGUGAAAUCCCCGGGCUUAACCUGGGAAUGGCAUUCAAGACUGGUUAGCUAGAGUCUUGUAGAGGGGGUAGAAUUCCAUGUGUAGCGGUGAAAUGCGUAGAGAUGUGGAGGAAUACCGGUGGCGAAGGCGGCCCCUGGACAAAGGCUGACGCUCAUGUGCGAAAGCGUGGGGAGCAAAC